rnacentral:lncRNA from 1 species
CCAUAGCCAAAGUACCCACCACUUCUUCCCCUAGUUUUGUAUUUGCUGUCAACAGCUAACCAAGUCCUGCCAUUAGUGCGAGUAUCAUACCCAUGUGUUCCAUAACCCAUUCCAGAUCUGACAGUGCUCCCAUAUUGACCAUAUAACUUGUUUGGAUACAUCCUAUUUAUAAAGUUAUGGGUGGCUCCCAUGGCAGGCAUUGGUCUCGGAUGGUGCAAGCCCUGACAAAACAUAACAUGGGUAUAAAUAACCAUAACAGCAGUCAAGGUACACAGGAAUUUAUCAAAGUAAGCAGAACUUUAACUGGUGGACCACGCAAAAAAAAACAUUAGGCUCGAUAACAGUUGAGUAUAACAAACUAACAAAAACUUCAAAAUAUUGUGCAUACCAUAAAUUGAGAGUUAGGGCGAAAAGUCUGGUUCCUAGAAGCACUGUUGUUGCCACCUGAUAUUGAAGGAGUGAUAGCUGUGCUACUCACGGGCCUUGGCUGCCCAUCUGAAAAUAGUGGGGCAUCUAGCCAUGGGAUUGGUGAGCGUACUCCAUCAAAACCAAAUCUUGGAUCCUGAUAACCUGAAGUUGGACCACGACCUGGCAUAGCAACCCUUUCAUUUGAAGCUUUGGAACUAUAAGAUGAAUUCUGAUUGGCC